AGCAGCCGCGGUAAUUCCAGCUCCAAUAGCGUAUAUUAAAGUUGUUGCAGUUAAAAAGCUCGUAGUUGAAUUUCGAGAUCGGCUUACUGGUCGUGCUUUUGUACGUACUGGUAAAUCGGUUUCUCCUUUCUGACGAACUUUAAUGCCAUUAAUUUGGUGUUUUAGGGAAUCAGGACUGUUACUUUGAAAAAAUUAGAGUGUUUAAAGCAGGCUCACGCUUGAAUACAUUAGCAUGGAAUAACGGAAUAGGACGUUUGAUUUUAUUUUGUUGGUUUCUAGGAUCGACGUAAUGAUUAAUAGGGAUAGUUGGGGGCAUUAGUAUUCAAUUGUCAGAGGUGAAAUUCUUGGAUUUAUUGAAGACUAACUACUGCGAAAGCAUUUGCCAAGGAUGUUUUCAUUAAUCAAGAACGAAAGUUAGGGGAUCGAAGACGAUCAGAUACCGUCGUAGUCUUAACCAUAAACUAUGCCGACUAGGGAUCGGAUGAUGUUAAUUUUUUAAUGACUCAUUCGGCGCCUUACG
rnacentral:rRNA from 1 species